GGGUUAGUAGGUUGGUCAUGCCUCUGGUAUGUACUGGUCUCACUGAUUCCUCCUUCCUGAUGAACCUUAAUGCCAUUAAUUUGGUGUUGCGGGGAAUUUGGACUGUUACUUUGAAAAAAUUAGAGUGUUCAAAGCAGGCCUUUGCUCGAAUACGUUAGCAUGGAAUAAUAGAAUAGGACGUGCGGUUCUAUUUUGUAGGUAUCUAGAACCGCCGUA
rnacentral:rRNA from 1 species